rnacentral:rRNA from 1 species
AUUGAACGCUGGCGGCAGGCCUAACACAUGCAAGUCGAGCGGAUAAAGGGAGCUUGCUCCUGGAUUCAGCGGCGGACGGGUGAGUAAUGCCUAGGAAUCUGCCUGGUAGUGGGGGAUAACGUCCGGAAACGGGCGCUAAUACCGCAUACGUCCUGAGGGAGAAAGUGGGGGAUCUUCGGACCUCACGCUAUCAGAUGAGCCUAGGUCGGAUUAGCUAGUUGGUGGGGUAAAGGCCUACCAAGGCGACGAUCCGUAACUGGUCUGAGAGGAUGAUCAGUCACACUGGAACUGAGACACGGUCCAGACUCCUACGGGAGGCAGCAGUGGGGAAUAUUGGGCAAUGGGCGAAAGCCUGAUCCAGCCAUGCCGCGUGUGUGAAGAAGGUCUUCGGAUUGUAAAGCACUUUAAGUUGGGAGGAAGGACAGUAAGUUAAUACCUUGCUGUUUUGACGUUACCAACAGAAUAAGCACCGGCUAACUUCGUG